UACGUAGGGCGCAAGCGUUGUCCGGAAUUAUUGGGCGUAAAGAGCUCGUAGGCGGUCUGUUGCGUCCGCUGUGAAAUCCCAGGGCUUAACCCUGGGCUGGCAGUGGAUACGGGCAGACUAGAGGUAGGUAGGGGAGAAUGGAAUUCCCGGUGUAGCGGUGAAAUGCGCAGAUAUCAGGAGGAACACCGGUGGCGAAGGCGGUUCUCUGGGCAUGUCCUGACGCUGAGGAGCGAAAGCGUGGGGAGCGAACAGG
rnacentral:rRNA from 1 species